UCGAGAAUUUUUCACAAUGGGCGAAAGCCUGAUGGAGCGACGCCGCGUGGGGGAUGAAUGGCUUCGGCCCGUAAACCCCUGUCAUUUGCGAUCAAACCUCACAACUUAAUACGUCGUGAGUUGAUAGUAGCAAAAGAGGAAGGGACGGCUAACUCUGUGCCAGCAGCCGCGGUAAUACAGAGGUCCCAAGCGUUGUUCGGAUUCACUGGGCGUAAAGGGUGCGUAGGCGGUCGGGUAAGUCUGACGUGAAAUCCUGGAGCUUAACUCCGGAACUGCGUCGGAAACUAUUCGGCUAGAGGAUUGGAAGGGGGACUGGAAUUCUCGGUGUAGCAGUGAAAUGCGUAGAUAUCGAGAGGAACACCCGUGGCGAAGGCGAGUCCCUGGACAAUUCCUGACGCUGAGGCACGAAAGCUAGGGGAGCAAACA
rnacentral:rRNA from 1 species